rnacentral:rRNA from 1 species
AGGACGAACGCUGGCGGCGUGUUAACACAUGCAAGUCGAACGAUGACGAUGGUGCUUGCACCGUCUGAUUAGUGGCGAACGGGUGAGUAACACGUGAGUAACCUGCCCUCCUCUUCGGGAUAACCGCCGGAAACGGUGGCUAAUACCGGAUAUGAAUGCCUGCCGCAUGGUGGGUGUUGGAAAGAUUUAUCGGUGGGGGAUGGACUCGCGGCCUAUCAGUUUGUUGGUGAGGUAAUGGCUCACCAAGGCGAUGACGGGUAGCCGGCCUGAGAGGGCGACCGGCCACACUGGGACUGGGACACGGCCCAGACUCCUACGGGAGGCAGCAGUGGGGAAUAUUGCACAAUGGGCGAAAGCCUGAUGCAAGCGACGCCGCGUGGGGGAUGACGGCCUUCGGGUUGUAAACCUCUCUCAGCAGGGAAGAAGCGAGAGUGACGGUACCUGCAGAAGAAGCGCCGGCUAACUACGUGCCAGCAGCGGC